rnacentral:rRNA from 1 species
UACGAACCGUACAAACGUUAUUCGGAAUCACUGGGCUUAAAGGGUGCGUAGGCGGCCAUGUAAGUGAGGUGUGAAAUCCCUCGGCUCAACCGAGGAACUGCGCUUCAUACUGCAUGGCUUGAGAGAGACAGGGGUAAGCGGAACUGAUGGUGGAGCGGUGAAAUGCGUUGAUAUCAUCAGGAACACCGGUGGCGAAAGCGGCUUACUGGGUCUCUUCUGACGCUGAGGUACGAAAGCUAGGGGAGCGAACGGG